rnacentral:rRNA from 1 species
CACGGGGGGAGCAAGCGUUGUUCGGAAUCACUGGGCGUAAAGCGCACGUAGGCGGCUUUUUAAGUCAGGGGUGAAAUCCUGGAGCUCAACUCCAGAACUGCCUUUGAUACUGAGAAGCUUGAGUCCGGGAGAGGUGAGUGGAACUGCGAGUGUAGAGGUGAAAUUCGUAGAUAUUCGCAAGAACACCAGUGGCGAAGGCGGCUCACUGGCCCGGUACUGACGCUGAGGUGCGAAAGCGUGGGGAGCAAACAGGG